UACGGAGGAUCCAAGCGUUAUCCGGAAUCAUUGGGUUUAAAGGGUCCGUAGGCGGUUUGGUAAGUCAGUGGUGAAAGCCCAUUGCUCAACGGUGGAACGGCCAUUGAUACUGCCAGACUUGAAUUAUUAGGAAGUAACUAGAAUAUGUAGUGUAGCGGUGAAAUGCUUAGAGAUUACAUGGAAUACCAAUUGCGAAGGCAGGUUACUACUAAUGGAUUGACGCUGAUGGACGAAAGCGUGGGUAGCGAACAGG
rnacentral:rRNA from 1 species